UUAACCCUCCUUUCUACAUAGCACAAAGAUGCAUUUAAGCUGCGCUCUCGCAGACGCUUUACUCGGGCGAGUGAUCAAAACGCACGAAUGUCCUAUUUCAAAUUUUAACGUCACAGAAAGUCGGUUGAGCUGAAAGUUUGAGGGCGACAUUACCCUGGUAAGUAAGAGCAAUAAAUUAAUUUGUUGAUUAAUUUGUUAUUUUUAGUUAUUUUGACCUAACUCAUUGUCAUUUAUGACUUACAUGUUUAUUUCAGCAAGCACAAAGAAUAAACGUCGACAAAACUGUUUCGUCCAGGCUUGCGAUACUCUCGAUUUCAGGAGAAAACAUGGAAGAAUACAAAACAAGUUUUCAGGAGCACAUCAAAGCAUUGAAUUAAGCCGACUGCACUGAAAUAAAGAGAUUAAUCAAUCUCUGUUCAAGAGUUUGAAUAUGUCAGAUGUCCAAAGUCAAAGAGAGGAAGUGAAGGAAAUGUUUCAAUUUCUCAACUUUCCUUCACCUAUCUCAGAGCAUUUCUGAAGUUCUGGACAUCAACAUCAUCAGGGCCAUGACAAUGGAAAGUCAAAGGGGACAUUUGACUUCAAAACAAUGACAUAAACAAUGUCAUAAAAGUGGCUCUGGAGUGCAGCAUUACUAUUUUGACCAUCAUCAUACAGUUAAAACACAACACUCCUAUUCUUCAUGGAUCAGCACAUCCAUCCUCAAACUAAUCUUUCAUAUGGUGUCCAGACCCCUCAGAGAGUGCAGAGAGUCUGCAUCAAACUGAUGACAUGUAGAUGGCUGAAGUGAAGUGACUUUUUUUUUAAUUUGUUAUAUCCAAAAGACCUCACUCAGUCUGUCAGAUCAGUGGCAACAAAAUUAUUCUGUAUUUGCCCCAGUGCUAAAAUUGUUUAACAGCUUUUCAUUGGUAAUUUUUCUUUUUAUUUAUUCUUAC